rnacentral:rRNA from 1 species
AUGCACUUUCUUCCCUGUCUUCCACUCUUCUUCCUCCUCUCUUCUUCUUCCUCCUCUCUUCUUCUUCCUCCUCUCUUCCCCAUCGUCGGCCGCACACCAUUUACCCCAGCUCACUGCUCGCCCGCCCGCGCCAUCUUCCUUGUACCAUAUAACUGGAAUUACCGAUGCAAGUCGAAGAAGGAUUGGCCGAUGCUGCCGGCUGGCGUCAAGUUCGAUCCCACGGAUCAGGAGCUGAUCGAGCACCUUGAGGCCAAAACCUGGUAUCACACUGAGUGGCCUAAGGAAGCAUUUCUUCCAGGGCAAUUCCAGGGCGUUCAAAAGGGGCACGUGGACGCGUCGCAAGAUACAGUCGGAGUGCGGCAUGCACGCGAUGUGGCACAAGACCGGCAAUACCUUGCCGGUGAUGGUCAACGGCCGGCAAGACGGGCAACAAAAAAGGUUCUGGUGCUGCACACCAGCAAGAACUUCGACCAGCAGAGGACCAACUGGGUGAUGCACCAGUACCACCUCGGGGACCUGGAGCAAGAGAAGGAGCGGGAGCUGGUCCUCUGCAAGAUUUUCUACCAGACGAACAAUAGGGCCAGGAGUAAAAAGAUUAUAAGUUAG